UCACAAGCUCCUCGGAAACAGGUGCUCGUUUUAAUUAUUACUGAAAUAAUUAUGUAGCGUUCCAUGAUUUCAAAGAAAAGAAACAUAAAGUGUCUUUUUUUUUCUUUGGUACGAUGUCAGUUGCCAUACGAUGAUAUAUAGCUACGUUUCAUGUAAAAGAAUUGUAAAAAAGGUACCAAAGUUGCACAACCGUACGAUAGUGACAUUAGAAAGAUGAACAGAUUCCAUAAACGUUCACAUAGCCUAAGAAGCAUUCUGAUUUCUACCUUGGCCAAGAGCAAGGAGCUUGGCAAGCAGAAUUUCUUUAGGCAAGAAAUUGAGUGGUGGUGCAAUAUUUUGCAUAGCAGAUUCAGGAUGACAUGAACUUGUUUCUCAGCAACAAUUCUUAGGGUCACGCUUUUAUGG
rnacentral:misc_RNA from 1 species